ensembl:snRNA U6 U6 spliceosomal RNA
GUGCUUGCUUUGGCAGCACUAUAUUAAAAUUGGAAUCAUACAGAGAAGUAGAUUAGUAUGGCCCCUAUACAAGGAUGACACACACAUUCAUGAGGUGUUUCAUAUUUUU